UGCGUAGGCGGAUUAAUAAGUCAGUGGUGAAAACCUGCAGCUUAACUGUAGAACUGCCAUUGAUACUGUUAGUCUUGAGUACGGUCAAGGUAGGCGGAAUGUGUAAUGUAGCGGUGAAAUGCUUAGAUAUUACACAGAACACCGAUUGCGAAGGCAGCUUACUGGACCAUUACUGACGCUGAGGCACGAAAGCGUGGGGAGCGAACAGGAUUGGAUACCCUGGUAGUCC
rnacentral:rRNA from 1 species